rnacentral:rRNA from 1 species
CCUACGGGAGGCAGCAGUGGGGAAUAUUGGACAAUGGGCGAAAGCCUGAUCCAGCCAUGCCGCGUGAGUGAUGAAGGCCUUCGGGUUGUAAAGCUCUGUCGUGGGGGAAGAAGUUCUGACGGUACCCCACAAGAAAGCACCGGCUAACUCCGUGCCAGCAGCCGCGGUAAUACGUAGGGUGCGAGCGUUAAUCGGAAUUACUGGGCGUAAAGCGUGCGCAGGCGGUUGUGCAAGACAGAUGUGAAAUCCCCGGGCUCAACCUGGGAACUGCAUUUGUGACUGCACGACUAGAGUACGGCAGAGGGGGGUAGAAUUCCACGUGUAGCAGUGAAAUGCGUAGAGAUGUGGAGGAAUACCGAUGGCGAAGGCAGCCCCCUGGGUCGAUACUGACGCUCAUGCACGAAAGCGUGGGGAGCAAACAGGAUUAGAUACCCUAGUAGUCCACGCCCUAAACGAUGUCAACUGGUUGUUGGGUCUUAGCUGACUCAGUAACGAAGCUAACGCGUGAAGUUGACCGCCUGGGGAGUACGGCCGCAAGGUUGAAACUCAAAGGAAUUGACGG